rnacentral:rRNA from 1 species
GACGAACGCUGGCGGCGUGCUUAACACAUGCAAGUCGAACGGAUCGGCAGGAGCUUGCUUCUGUCGGUUAGUGGCGAACGGGUGAGUAACACGUGAGCAAUCUGCCCUUGACUCUGGGAUAACUGCGGGAAACUGUAGCUAAUACCGGAUAUGACGCGCGAAGGCAUCUUCUGCGCGUGGAAAGAAUUUCGGUCAGGGAUGAGCUCGCGGCCUANCAGCUUGUUGGUGAGGUAAUGGCUCACCAAGGCGACGACGGGUAGCCGGCCUGAGAGGGUGACCGGCCACACUGGGACUGAGACACGGCCCAGACUCCUACGGGAGGCAGCAGUGGGGAAUAUUGCACAAUGGGCGAAAGCCUGAUGCAGCAACG